rnacentral:rRNA from 1 species
AUAUGCUUAACACAUGCAAGUCGGACGUGGCACCGGGUGCUUCAUACCGGGCGUCACUGGAUCAAUGAUGAAGGAAAGAAACCCACCCGGCGGGAGAGGGAGGACGACACGCGGGAUGGGGUGCCUCGUGGCAUACGGGUGCAGAGGGCGCGGGGAUCUGCCGGUCGUGGGCCCAUCGCACCGAUUGAUGGAAAGCCAAUAAGGCGUUGCCUGAGGAGCCCGCGUCGUAUUAGGUGGUCGGUGCUCGAUCGGUACAGGCCCACCGAGCCGAUCAUGCGUAGCUGGUCUCGUUGGAUGAUCAGCCACACCGGGACUGAGAGACGGCCCGGGCUGAUUCCGAGGCAGCAGUGGGGGAUCUUGGGCAAUGGGCGCCCGCCCGACCCAGCAAUGUCGCGUGAGUGAGGAAGGGCAUGGCUUGUAAAGCUCAAUCAUCGGCCGAGUAUCCCGCACCGGUCGGCCGAGCCCCGGCUAACUCCGUGCCAGCAGCCGCGGUAAGACGGGGGGGGCGAGUGUUAUUCGGAUGGAGAUGGCGUUAAGGGCACGCGGGCGGUGAUUGGUAUGGUGGGGGCUGACACCCGCCACAGGGGAGGAGCGGCAUGGCCCCCAAGCCCCAGUCACUGGAGUCCGAGAGAGGGGAGUGGAAUGCCGUGUGGAGCGACCAUAUACAGAGAGAUGCGGGGGAACGCCAAUCGCGAAGGCUGGUCUCUCUCCCGGGACUGACGCUGAGGUGCGAGAGCGUGGGGAGCAAACAGGAUUAGAUACGAGUCUCAUCGCAAGAUCGAAACUCAAAGGAAUUGACGGGGGCCUGCGCAAGCGGUGGAGCAUGUGGUUUAAUUCGAUACAACGCGCAGCACCUUACCGCCCCGUGACAUGCCCGGCCGGUCGGGCGAGGGAUCGGAGUGUACCGGCGCUGCAUGGCUGCCGUCAGCUCGUGCCGUGAGAUUUCUGGUUCAGUCCGGGAACGAGCGCAACCCCCUGCUGGUAACCUAUCCCUUCCCUGGUGGUCGUGAUCGUCAUCCGGCGCCCGCGGUCGUGUGGUUUCUUAUCCCGGCCGAUCAAACGGGCCCGGUGCCGCGGCCUGGUGGGGGGUCACCGGGCACGGCCAUCGAGAGCGUGGGGGAGGGUGGGGAUCACGUCAAGUCCGCAUGGCCCCAAUGGGGCGGGCUACACACGUGCUGCAUUGGCUUCCACAAGGGGGAGCCCGGCCGCCGGGGAGUGCGGAUCCGCAAAGGAUGCCCACGUUCGGAUGGUUCCCCGCAGCUCGGGAACCUGCACAGUUGGAAUCGCCAGUAAUCGCGGAUCACGAUCGCCGCGGCGAAUCCGUACUCGGGCCCUGUACACACCGCCCGUCACACCAUGGGAUGCGCACCCCCUCGACUCUCUCUCCCCUCUCCCCGGCCUACCUCAUCGCCCACCGGGUCGCGGUCAGUGAUCGGCGGGACGGCCGAGGAGAUCACGGUGGGUCGAUUGACUGUGGUGAAGUCGUAACAAGGUAGCCGUAGGGGAACCUGCGGCCGGAUUGAAUCC